UUCAAUUUCUUUUUGCUAGUCUCCUAGGCAAUCAAACUGAAGUAUUCAGAAAGGAAGCUCUAUGUUACUAGGAGCUCUACUUUUUUUGACAUUUUUUCCAUCAGAUCAUCUGUAUCCUGCUUUUCAUCUUUCCAUUGCUCACCCACCUUACUUCUCUGGCAAUGGUCUGUAUUUACUUUACUGGAUUCUGCAAUUACUCUAGGAUAUGAAGAUUUGAAGGACCACUACCCCCCGACCCCAACCCCACAAAGAAGAAGAAGAAGGAGAAGGAGGAGGAG